rnacentral:rRNA from 1 species
GAUGAACGCUGGCGGCGUGCCUAAUACAUGCAAGUCGAGCGAACGGACGAGAAGCUUGCUUCUCUGAUGUUAGCGGCGGACGGGUGAGUAACACGUGGAUAACCUACCUAUAAGACUGGGAUAACUUCGGGAAACCGGAGCUAAUACCGGAUAAUAUUUUGAACCGCAUGGUUCAAAAGUGAAAGACGGUCUUGCUGUCACUUAUAGAUGGAUCCGCGCUGCAUUAGAUAGUUGGUAAGGUAACGGCUUACCAAGGCAACGAUGCAUAGCCGACCUGAGAGGGUGAUCGCCCACACUGGAACUGAGCCACGGUCCAGACUCCUACGGGAGGCAGCAGUAGGGAAUCUUCCGCAACGGGCGAAAGCCUGACGGAGCAACGCCGAGUGAGUGAUGACGGUCUUCGGAUCGUAAAACUCUGUUAUUAGGGAAGAACAUAUGUGUAAGUAACUGUGCACAUCUUGACGGUACCUAAUCAGAAAGCAACGGCUAACUACGUG